rnacentral:rRNA from 1 species
UGGCCUUGACAUGCAGAGAACUUUCCAGAGAUGGAUUGGUGCCUUCGGGAACUCUGACACAGGUGCUGCAUGGCCGUCGUCAGCUCGUGUCGUGAGAUGUUGGGUUAAGUCCCGUAACGAGCGCAACCCCUAUCCUUGGUUGCUAGCAGGUAAUGCUGAGAACUCCAGGGAGACUGCCGGUGACAAACCGGAGGAAGGUGGGGAUGACGUCAGGUCAUCAUGGCCCUUACGGCCAGGGCUACACACGUGCUACAAUGGCGUAUACAGAGGGCUGCCAACUCGCGAGAGUGAGCCAAUCCCUUAAAGUGCGUCGUAGUCCGGAUCGCAGUCUGCAACUCGACUGCGUGAAGUCGGAAUCGCUAGUAAUCGCGAAUCAGAA